UACCAGCGCAGACUGGCGUGGCCCAGGCAUCCCUGGGCGAGUAUCUCUUUGAGUGCCUCACUCUCAAGCACGACUAGGAGG
rnacentral:pre_miRNA from 14 species